rnacentral:rRNA from 1 species
CCUACGGGGGGCAGCAGUGGGGAAUAUUGCACAAUGGGGGAAACCCUGAUGCAGCGACGCCGCGUGAGUGAAGAAGUAUCUCGGUAUGUAAAGCUCUAUCCGCAGGGAAGAAAAUGACGGUAACUGACUAAGAAGCACCGGCUAACUACGUGCCAGCAGCCGCGGUAAUACGUAGGGGGCAAGCGUUAUCCGGAUUUACUGGGUGUAAAGGGAGCGUAGACGGCAGCACAAGUCUGGAGUGAAAUGCCGGGGCUUAACCCCGGAACUGCUUGGGAAACUGUGCAGCUAGAGUGCAGGAGAGGUAAGUGGAAUUCCUGGUGUAGCGGUGAAAUGCGUAGAUAUUAGGAGGAACACCAGUGGCGAAGGCGGCUUACUGGACUGUAACUGACGUUGAGGCUCGAAAGCGUGGGGAGCAAACAGGAUUAGAUACCCGUGUAGUC